rnacentral:rRNA from 1 species
GAGGGAAAGGUGAAAAGUACCCCGGGAGGGGAGUGAAAUAGUACCUGAAACCGUGCGCCUACAAGCGGUCGGAGCGCGCAAGCGUGACGGCGUGCCUUUUGCAUAAUGAACCUGCGAGUUGCCGUGGCCGGCGAGGUUAAGGGGGACGACCCCCGCAGCCGUAGCGAAAGCGAGUCUUAAUAGGGCGCAUGUCGGCCGCGGCAGACGCGAAACCGAGUGAUCUACCCUUGUCCAGGAUGAAGUCCGGGUAACACCGGAUGGAGGUCCGCACCAAUAAGCGUUGAAAAGCUUCUGGAUGAGGUGAGGGUAGGAGUGAAAGGCCAAUCAAACUCGGAGAUAGCUCGUACUCCCCGAAAUGCAUUUAGGUGCAGCCUCGUCGUUUAGUGCAGAGAGGUAGAGCGACUGAUAAGAUGCGAGGGCUUCACCGCCUAUCAAGUCUUGCCAAACUCCGAAUGCUCUGCAGUAUCACGCCGGGAGUGAGGGGCAGGGUGCUAAGGUCCUGUCCCGAGAGGAGAAGAAUCCGGACCGCCGGCUAAGGUCCCGAAAUAACGGCUAAGUUAGUCAAACGAAGUAUGAUUGCCGUGACAGCUAGGAUGUUGGCUUGGAAGCAGCCAUUCAUUUAAAGA